AGCUACUGUAAAUUGGACACUUCAGUUGGAUUAACACGAAUUGAAGCUUUCUGCCCACAUAAAACAAGUCUAUGUCCUGGAAAAUUGGCUGUUACUUACAAUGUCAUUCUGGUCACAUUAGCGCACGUUAGCAACAACCGUCCCGGUUUAGGUACACCAUUCCCGUAGAGGGGAACUACACAUCAGGUGAGCACACUGUAAUAAACAGAUUUUUCUCUGUUUCCGACUAGCUGGAAAUCUAGAACUUUUGCCUCAAAUAUUUGUUCUUUACUUUUACUCCCUAAUUUAUUACAGGAAUAUUUGUUAAUCUGAGACGUUGUGGUUGUGAAUUGUUGGACAACAACAAGCAGGGCAAAAUCAUGAUAAAGGAAUCUUUCAAUGGAUUUGAUGGUGCUCUGAACUUCAACAAAAUGCAGUACCAUCCUAAGUGGCCCAAACUUGCAUGUAAUCAACAUAGGACACAGUACAUUCAAAUGGGCCUUGGAAAAGCUUCACCUCCCCAUUUGCAUUAAAACAUUAAAAGACUACCUGAAAAAAGGGGAGAUGCUUGUGAUGAGAAGAGGUUUGUGGACAUACCAUUGUCUAUUGUUAUUCCAUGUGUAGAAAAAAACAUUAGGAAUACAACAGGAGCAAAUCUAUAGUGGAUCCAUUGAUACACAUUUCUUCCUCCUCCUCGGUGCAUCCCAGAGUUAGAAUCAUUCAGAAAGCAAACCUAGAUUCUGGAGGGGACAAGCUUUUGGUUUCUACCCAUGCCACAUCAACCUAACCCUGCUGAGAAAUGGCCAGCCAGUGGCAGAGCAUGAUCUCACAGGGGGGCAGCUGCUGCCCAAUGGAGACAGGCUGUAGCAGCUGAGGAUGAGUCUGACAAUCAGUGCCCAGGAGCUGAGAGAGACAUCAUUACACCUGUACUGCCACUCAUCUGUCUGGACAACAAGUUGGAUGUCAGUUGGGGUAAAAAGAAAAACCAUGGGGUGUCCUGAGAUAUCAUCAGAUUAUGUGCUAUUUAGCAAUCACUAUAGUCCACCUCUAGUCCACCGCCUGGUUGCCAUCUCUGUUUAGCUUUUACACUCCUCUCCUGUCAUUUGCCAAAGUCUUUGAUAGGAGUUGCAAGUGGAGUGUUGGCUAAAAAGACUGGUACCCAGACUAGUCUUUUUUUAGAGGUUACAAAUGACAAAGUUGUUCCAAUAAUAAAUACAAGUAUUGUAAUACUGUUUGUAUUUAUUGACAGAUCCUGAUACUAGGCCCAGAUAGCGUUUCCAUCCUUGCAGUCGUCCCGGUGGUGGCAAUGGUAUUAAUUCUGAUUGGGGGCCUACCCUUUAUUGUCUUUGGCAUGUGGAAGUGGAAAUGCACAGGAUGACUACCUUUAAUGUUUAACAUCUUUAUCAACAAUGUAAUUAGUGGCCGAUAGAACACGUCCCAUUGGUGACCUACCUGUGUCAAUGUGUUGUUCUUUCCUCCAUUUUAUGGACCUACGUACUCUGCUGCCAAGGUACCGAGCCAGAACAGAGCAACUCGUCUUUAGAGAUGGAAUCAACAGUCUUGAUACAGCUGUACUCCAACCACCAUCAUGGGGCGGCAGGGUAGCCAAGUGGUUAGAGCAUUGGACCUAGUAACCGAAAGGUUGCAAGUUCAAAUCCCCGAGCUGACAAGGAAAAUGAAGAAAUCCACAGAAAUCCAUGAAGAAAUCCACAACUAAUUCAACAAGCAAGCUUUGCACUGCUCUGUUGUUAUUUAAUGAGACUUGUUAUAUGGCCAGUUAUAAUUGCCUACACUUUGUAAGUGAAUUGUGUACACACACUUUUAAUUUGGCUCUACACUCCAGCAUUUUGAAUUUGAGAUCAAAUGUUUCACGAGGCGACAAUACAGAAUGUCACCUUUUAUUUUAGGGUAUUUUCAAACAUAUGUUCUACCGUUUAGAAAUGAAAGCACUUUAUGUAUCUAGUCCUCCUUUUUGAAGUUGUCAUAAGUGUUUGGGCAACUUUACCUAUGUGUAUUAAAGUAGCCAAAAUUGUAGUAUUUGAUCCCAUAUUCCCAUAGUAGUACGCAGUGACUACAUUAAGCUUGUGACUCUACAAACUUGUUAGGUGCAUUUGCAGUGUGUUUUGGUUGUGUUUCAGAUUAUGCUGUGCCCAAUAAAAAUUAAUGCUAAAUAGUGUGUGGAAAUACGUGCUAUUAUGGAACAGCA